rnacentral:rRNA from 1 species
AUAGGCAGUGGGCGCGUGCUAUACAUGCAAGUCGAGCGAACAGAUAAGGAGCUUGCUCCUUUGACGUUAGCGGCGGACGGGUGAGUAACACGUGGAUAACCUACCUAUAAGACUGGGAUAACUUCGGGAAACCGGAGCUAAUACCGGAUAAGAUUUUGAACCGCAUGGUUCAAUAGUGAAAGACGGCCUUGCUGUCACUUAUAGAUGGAUCCGCGCCGUAUUAGCUAGUUGGUAAGGUAACGGCUUACCAAGGCAACGAUACGUAGCCGACCUGAGAGGGUGAUCGGCCACACUGGAACUGAGACACGGUCCAGACUCCUACGGGAGGCAGCAGUAGGGAAUCUUCCGCAAUGGGCGAAAGCCUGACGGAGCAACGCCGCGUGAGUGAUGAAGGUCUUCGGAUCGUAAAACUCUGUUAUCAGGGAAGAACAAACGUGUAAGUAACUGUGCACGUCUUGACGGUACCUGAUCAGAAAGCCACGGCUAACUACGUGCCAGCAGCCGCGGUAAUACGUAGGUGGCAAGCGUUAUCCGGAAUUAUUGGGCGUAAAGCGCGCGUAGGCGGUUUUUUAAGUCUGAUGUGAAAGCCCACGGCUCAACCGUGGAGGGUCAUUGGAAACUGGAAAACUUGAGUGCAGAAGAGGAAAGUGGAAUUCCAUGUGUACCGGUGAAAUGGCCAGAGAUAUGGAGGAACACCAG